CCCAACUGCAACAUCCUUUAGCAGAUUCCACAAAUACCGGGUCUGAACCAAGCUUAGCAGCACACGACAUCACAUAGCACCACAUAGCAGCACACACCCAACAGCACACAACAACCAAGAACACUACCAUCCACAAGGGGCAACUACUGCAGACACCAAAUAGCAGACAGCCCACAGCACACGAGCACUAGCAGACAGCCAGUUGCACAGAAAACACCAAGAGGACAACACAUACCCACAACAGAAAAUAGUACCACACGCAGCAAUGAUAGUAGCCAAGCAGCACUACUACUGCAAACCAACCAGACUAACCAGAUCACAAAAGAAUCUGCCAGCAGAAGGACGUGACUCAGCAACCAAGCAGCACUACUACUGCAAACCAAAACCCUCCCAAAUCACCUGUUUCGCAUAUAGCAGACAACCAGGAGCACAUUAAAACACUGAGGAUGGACAGCAGUCGGAGCAGCACCCCACCAGCUGAAACUGUAGCCGCAUAGCAUCCCAUCCUGUAGCUGCUGUAGCCGCACUGUAGCACCAUAACCAACAAGCCCCCCCCAGAUCCAAACAGGAGAAGACAAAGCAGACCGAGCAACCAGGAGCUGAACUGCAUCUGCUAAACCACAACCACAUCCGAACCUGAGCAGAACAUCAGAACUCGACCUUACAGAGGAACAAUUGGCUUGGAACCAGACUAACCAAUUGCAACAACCAAACAUUAAGCACUCGGCAGGACACAGCAACUUAUGACAGCAUCAACUAAAGACCACAGCAGCAAACUGGACUCAGCAAACCAGAUAGCAGCUCCUGCACCAGACCAGCAAACUAG
rnacentral:lncRNA from 1 species